GAGGAGCCCAGAGCCUGAAUCAGUGUGUGUGUUAGUGGAAGCGUCUGGAAAGGCGCGCGAUACAGGGUGACAGCCCCGUACACAAAAAUGCACAUAUUGUGAGCUCGAUGAGUAGGGCGGGACACGUGGUAUCCUGUCUGAAUAUGGGGGGACCAUCCUCCAAGGCUAAAUACUCCUGACUGACCGAUAGUGAACCAGUACCGUGAGGGAAAGGCGAAAAGAACCCCGGCGAGGGGAGUGAAAAAGAACCUGAAACCGUGUACGUACAAGCAGUGGGAGCCUCUUUAUGGGGUGACUGCGUACCUUUUGUAUAAUGGGUCAGCGACUUAUAUUCUGUAGCAAGGUUAACCGAAUAGGGGAGCCGAAGGGAAACCGAGUCUUAACUGGGCGUUAAGUUGCAGGGUAUAGACCCGAAACCCGGUGAUCUAGCCAUGGGCAGGUUGAAGGUUGGGUAACACUAACUGGAGGACCGAACCGACUAAUGUUGAAAAAUUAGCGGAUGACUUGUGGCUGGGGGUGAAAGGCCAAUCAAACCGGGAGAUAGCUGGUUCUCCCCGAAAGCUAUUUAGGUAGCGCCUCGUGAAUUCAUCUCCGGGGGUAGAGCACUGUUUCGGCAAGGGGGUCAUCCCGACUUACCAACCCGAUGCAAACUGCGAAUACCGGAGAAUGUUAUCACGGGAGACACACGGCGGGUGCUAACGUCCGUCGUGAAGAGGGAAACAACCCAGACCGCCAGCUAAGGUCCCAAAGUCAUGGUUAAGUGGGAAACGAUGUGGGAAGGCCCAGACAGCCAGGAUGUUGGCUUAGAAGCAGCCAUCAUUUAAAGAAAGCGUAAUAGCUCACUGGUCGAGUCGGCCUGCGCGGAAGAUGUAACGGGGCUAAACCAUGCACCGAAGCUGCGGCAGCGACACUAUGUGUUGUUGGGUAGGGGAGCGUUCUGUAAGCCUGUGAAGGUGGCCUGUGAGGGUUGCUGGAGGUAUCAGAAGUGCGAAUGCUGACAUAAGUAACGAUAAAGCGGGUGAAAAGCCCGCUCGCCGGAAGACCAAGGGUUCCUGUCCAACGUUAAUCGGGGCAGGGUGAGUCGACCCCUAAGGCGAGGCCGAAAGGCGUAGUCGAUGGGAAACAGGUUAAUAUUCCUGUACUUGGUGUUACUGCGAAGGGGGGACGGAGAAGGCUAUGUUGGCCGGGCGACGGUUGUCCCGGUUUAAGCGUGUAGGCUGGUUUUCCAGGCAAAUCCGGAAAACCAAGGCUGAGGCGUGAUGACGAGGCACUACGGUGCUGAAGCGACAAAUGCCCUGCUUCCAGGAAAAGCCUCUAAGCAUCAGGUAACAUCAAAUCGUACCCCAAACCGACACAGGUGGUCAGGUAGAGAAUACCAAGGCGCUUGAGAGAACUCGGGUGAAGGAACUAGGCAAAAUGGUGCCGUAACUUCGGGAGAAGGCACGCUGAUAUGUAGGUGAAGCGACUUGCUCGUGGAGCUGAAAUCAGUCGAAGAUACCAGCUGGCUGCAACUGUUUAUUAAAAACACAGCACUGUGCAAACACGAAAGUGGACGUAUACGGUGUGACGCCUGCCCGGUGCCGGAAGGUUAAUUGAUGGGGUUAGCGGUAACGCGAAGCUCUUGAUCGAAGCCCCGGUAAACGGCGGCCGUAACUAUAACGGUCCUAAGGUAGCGAAAUUCCUUGUCGGGUAAGUUCCGACCUGCACGAAUGGCGUAAUGAUGGCCAGGCUGUCUCCACCCGAGACUCAGUGAAAUUGAACUCGCUGUGAAGAUGCAGUGUACCCGCGGCAAGACGGAAAGACCCCGUGAACCUUUACUAUAGCUUGACACUGAACAUUGAGCCUUGAUGUGUAGGAUAGGUGGGAGGCUUUGAAGUGUGGACGCCAGUCUGCAUGGAGCCGACCUUGAAAUACCACCCUUUAAUGUUUGAUGUUCUAACGUUGGCCCGUAAUCCGGGUUGCGGACAGUGUCUGGUGGGUAGUUUGACUGGGGCGGUCUCCUCCUAAAGAGUAACGGAGGAGCACGAAGGUUGGCUAAUCCUGGUCGGACAUCAGGAGGUUAGUGCAAUGGCAUAAGCCAGCUUGACUGCGAGCGUGACGGCGCGAGCAGGUGCGAAAGCAGGUCAUAGUGAUCCGGUGGUUCUGAAUGGAAGGGCCAUCGCUCAACGGAUAAAAGGUACUCCGGGGAUAACAGGCUGAUACCGCCCAAGAGUUCAUAUCGACGGCGGUGUUUGGCACCUCGAUGUCGGCUCAUCACAUCCUGGGGCUGAAGUAGGUCCCAAGGGUAUGGCUGUUCGCCAUUUAAAGUGGUACGCGAGCUGGGUUUAGAACGUCGUGAGACAGUUCGGUCCCUAUCUGCCGUGGGCGCUGGAGAACUGAGGGGGGCUGCUCCUAGUACGAGAGGACCGGAGUGGACGCAUCACUGGUGUUCGGGUUGUCAUGCCAAUGGCACUGCCCGGUAGCUAAAUGCGGAAGAGAUAAGUGCUGAAAGCAUCUAAGCACGAAACUUGC
rnacentral:rRNA from 1 species